rnacentral:rRNA from 1 species
UACGUAGGGACCAAGCGUUGUUCGGAUUUACUGGGCGUAAAGGGCGUGUAGGCGGCAAUUCAAGUCAGCUGUGAAAUCUCCGGGCUUAACUCGGAACGGUCAGCUGAUACUGCUUUGCUAGAGUGCAGAAGGGGCAAUCGGAAUUCUUGGUGUAGCGGUGAAAUGCGUAGAUAUCAAGAGGAACACCUGAGGUGAAGACGGGUUGCUGGGCUGACACUGACGCUGAGGCGCGAAAGCUAGGGUAGCAAACGGG